GAACAGAUAAGGAGCUUGCUCCUUUGACGUUAGCGGCGGACGGGUGAGUAACACGUGGGUAACCUACCUAUAAGACUGGGAUAACUUCGGGAAACCGGAGCUAAUACCGGAUAACAUUUGGAACCGCAUGGUUCUAAAGUGAAAGAUGGUUUUGCUAUCACUUAUAGAUGGACCCGCGCCGUAUUAGCUAGUUGGUAAGGUAACGGCUUACCAAGGCGACGAUACGUAGCCGACCUGAGAGGGUGAUCGGCCACACUGGAACUGAGACACGGUCCAGACUCCUACGGGAGGCAGCAGUAGGGAAUCUUCCGCAAUGGGCGAAAGCCUGACGGAGCAACGCCGCGUGAGUGAUGAAGGGUUUCGGCUCGUAAAACUCUGUUAUUAGGGAAGAACAAACGUGUAAGUAACUGUGCACGUCUUGACGGUACCUAAUCAGAAAGCCACGGCUAACUACGUGCCAGCAGCCGCGGUAAUACGUAGGUGGCAAGCGUUAUCCGGAAUUAUUGGGCGUAAAGCGCGCGUAGGCGGUUUCUUAAGUCUGAUGUGAAAGCCCACGGCUCAACCGUGGAGGGUCAUUGGAAACUGGGAAACUUGAGUGCAGAAGAGGAAAGUGGAAUUCCAUGUGUAGCGGUGAAAUGCGCAGAGAUAUGGAGGAACACCAGUGGCGAAGGCGACUUUCUGGUCUGUAACUGACGCUGAUGUGCGAAAGCGUGGGGAUCAAACAGGAUUAGAUACCCUGGUAGUCCACGCCGUAAACGAUGAGUGCUAAGUGUUAGGGGGUUUCCGCCCCUUAGUGCUGCAGCUAACGCAUUAAGCACUCCGCCUGGGGAGUACGACCGCAAGGUUGAAACUCAAAGGAAUUGACGGGGACCCGCACAAGCGGUGGAGCAUGUGGUUUAAUUCGAAGCAACGCGAAGAACCUUACCAAAUCUUGACAUCCUUUGAAAACUCUAGAGAUAGAGCCUUCCCCUUCGGGGGACAAAGUGACAGGUGGUGCAUGGUUGUCGUCAGCUCGUGUCGUGAGAUGUUGGGUUAAGUCCCGCAACGAGCGCAACCCUUAAGCUUAGUUGCCAUCAUUAAGUUGGGCACUCUAGGUUGACUGCCGGUGACAAACCGGAGGAAGGUGGGGAUGACGUCAAAUCAUCAUGCCCCUUAUGAUUUGGGCUACACACGUGCUACAAUGGACAAUACAAAGGGCAGCUAAACCGCGAGGUCAUGCAAAUCCCAUAAAGUUGUUCUCAGUUCGGAUUGUAGUCUGCAACUCGACUACAUGAAGCUGGAAUCGCUAGUAAUCGUAGAUCAGCAUGCUACGGUGAAUACGUUCCCGGGUCUUGUACACACCGCCCGUCACACCACGAGAGUUUGUAACACCCGAAGCCGGUGGAGUAACCAUU
rnacentral:rRNA from 1 species